rnacentral:lncRNA from 1 species
CACACACACAUUUUCUAGUCAGCGCAGAUACAAAUCAAUAUCAGUACGAAAGCACCACACCCAUCCUCUUCUUUCUUGCUCACCUUUGAAGCACUCAGGAGUUGGCCUUCAUAGUGGCGGCGGAUCUGGUAGAGGUGUCCAUAGGAAGGGAGAUUAGCAACAACAAAAAUAAUAAUUAGGCUUCAAGAAGUGGGCCUACCUUCGAAGGAGCACGGUCGUGGCGGUUGGUAAAAUGCAUCGGACACGAGUAACAGGUCCCCUCUUUGGCGGAUCAGUCAUAGAGUCCACUUCUGUCUAGUACUUUCAAAAAAACAUUUUCCCCACUAUCAGUAAGCAGAAAUAAUAUCUGUAACGUCAAGUCAUACUUCAGGAGAGUAAAAUAUCAAUGCGAGACUAAAAUAGACAGCCAUGUCAAGUAUUAAGGUGCUACAUUGAGUUGACUUAGUUCAUG